UUAAAUGGGUACCACUAUAUA
rnacentral:siRNA from 1 species